UUCUACCAGAACAUGUGAAAGUCACAAUGAAAUACAACUGGCCAACCAAGUUGAUUUCUCCGCGCAUUUGUGAAUGUUCUUGAAUCUCUGUGUUGUGAGGAAUAGAAUCUUAAAAUUUCCAACCUUACUUUCAAGAAAUGGGUUGGGGAACAGCUGGACCUUCUCUGAAGAAUGCUUCCCUUCUCAGUCCAUGGAUUCCACGUGGAACUUUCAGCAGAAGCCUCAUCAUUAAAAUAACAAAAUACCACCAUAUGUAAUAAUUGCCCUAUUAAUAAUUAGUGAUACCAUCUCAUAGCCAGAAUCCAUAAAGAAAGGGUUGUUAUCCAAAAUAAUAUUGUGUGUAUGUACAAGAGACUCCUAGAAACUCACUAGUUCAGUAAGGAUCUCAGAGAUAUCUGUUACUAUCAUGAAAAUGGUGUAUUUUGUGUCUGAAAUUGUGCCUUAGUAGUUCAGGCACUUCUAUCAUUUAAAAGUUUUAUUCUUGGCUGACCAAUGGAAUCCUGCUUUUUUCUUGGGAAAGACAAGUAUUUGACCCACUUUAUGGGAAGGAGGACAGAGACAUUAACACGAAGCCCAAGGGAGAGGGUUGGCAGUAGGAUCACCCCAUUGCCAACGAGAGUGUUUAAGGGGACAUCAGCCUGGAUCAGGAGAUGCUUGUAAAAGUCAGAAGGAAAGAUUCAAAGCACACCAGAUUGGAUGAACUGGUUGCCUGUUCACCAAAGCCAAGCUGCAUGGUCCUUGAACUUAACCAAGUCUGGUCAUAAUAAGAAGCAGGAGAAUCUUAACCACAAACAGAUAGAUGUUUUGCCAAAAAUUUGGUGCCUCCCUAGGCAAACUUGACCAACAACUUUAUGAAAGUUCAGCUGUUAACUCCCUACUCUAGAAAAAAGGACAUGAACCCUGCAUAUUAAACCAUGCCACUCAGGACAGCCCAAAGCCAGGGUGACAGCAGUAACUUUCUGCUUUUGUUAUAAACCAGUGGGGUUUUGAUGUUAUCAUCCCACCACCACCGCCAGGAGCUUUGUAGACACUUUUUUCCCUAAUUGAC